AUAGAUAUAUCAUAAUCCGAUCUAAAUAUGCAUAACGAUGCAAGAACAGUAAUAUAACAAUAGUCCGAAAAAAUAUUAUUCCAAUUCACAUAUCCAUUUUUCAUUCAAAGCAUCAUCUCAUAAAAUUCAUAAAUCAUAUAUAAAUUCAUUAACAAUUUACUUGAUGCAAAAAUAAUAUUAUAUAAAUGAAGAGUCUAGAGAAGGCAGUUCAUUACUUACAUUGAACGCGAUCUACAACAAAUCCAAUUAAUCUCACAAAUUCCUCGCAGAACCUAAUAUCCAAAAAUCAUAUUUUCUUUUAAAAUUAAUUACAAUAUAUAUAAAACUUAAAUGUUAACAUUCUUCCAGGGCCGACCCUGCAGAAGUGUCUAGCCCCCCCAGGUUCGGGUUCGGAUUUGGGUUCAUACCCGUAAACCACCCUCUCC
rnacentral:lncRNA from 1 species